rnacentral:lncRNA from 1 species
CCCAGCCAGGCAAGUGGGACCGCUCUGCUCAUCAGCUUCAUGCCCCCCACCCCCUCCGCCCCCAAGAGACUGGAGCAGGUGGAAGAGCUACAAUAAAUAAUGUCAAACAGAAAUGGACUGAAGCCAUAAAGAAGGGGAUCAUUUCAUUUAUUCAGAGCUGGAGAGGAGGCAAGAUGUUGGCAUAGCUGUUGAACUAAGAACCUGCUAUGCCAACAUAUUGCCAUCUUUCUUGUCUAUCAGCAACCACGCCAGGGUUAAGGACUAAGAAUGAAGGGAAGAGAGUUGCUUCUAAUAGAAGACAUGGAUUCUGACUUGGAGUUGGAGGUAGUACUGGAAACAUCAUUUAGUCACCCUACAUGUGAGUAGCAGGAUAAUUUUUUUUUCUUAAUUGAAUGAGCUUCCUGGUUUAAAUUUGAAAUUCUAAAUCUAGAGAUCCCAGAGAAAAUCUGGACUUUUUUCUUUGUACCCAACACUUAGACCAGUGUCUGGCACAUUUUAAGCACUUAAUAAAUGCCUGCUGAUUUAGUAGAUGAAUUACUUU